UAGGGAAUCUUCGGCAAUGGGGGGAACCCUGACCGAGCAACGCCGCGUGAGUGAAGAAGGUUUUCGGAUCGUAAAGCUCUGUUGUUAAGGAAGAACGAGUGUGAGAAUGGAAAGUUCAUACUGUGACGGUACUUAACCAGAAAGGGACGGCUAACUACGUGCCAGCAGCCGCGGUAAUACGUAGGUCCCGAGCGUUGUCCGGAUUUAUUGGGCGUAAAGCGAGCGCAGGCGGUUAGAUAAGUCUGAAGUUAAAGGCAGUGGCUCAACCAUUGUAGGCUUUGGAAACUGUUUAACUGGAGUGCAGAAGGGGAGAGGGGAAUUCCAUGUGUAGCGGUGAAAUGCGUAGAUAUAUGGAGGAACACCGGUGGCGAAAGCGGCUCUCUGGUCUGUAACUGACGCUGAGGCUCGAAAGCGUGGGGAGCGAACAGG
rnacentral:rRNA from 1 species